rnacentral:rRNA from 1 species
UACGUAGGGGGCAAGCGUUGUCCGGAAUCAUUGGGCGUAAAGCGCGUGUAGGCGGUUCGGUAAGUCUGCUGUGAAAGUCCAGGGCUCAACCCUGGGAUGCCGGUGGAUACUGUCGGACUAGAGUACGGAAGAGGCGAGUGGAAUCCCCGGUGUAGCGGUGAAAUGCGCAGAUAUCGGGAGGAACACCAAUUGCGAAGGCAGCUCGCUGGGACGUUACUGACGCUGAGACGCGAAAGCGUGGGGAGCAAACAGG